UCCCUGGUGGUCCAAUGGCUAAGACUCUGCACUUCCACUGCAGGGGUCACAGGUUCGAUUGCUGGUCAGGGAA
rfam:TPA: Bos taurus chromosome 11, whole genome shotgun sequence.